CCCACCUGAGGGACGACGGACUAGUUCCGGGAUUCCGAUGUCGGCCUAGCAAGCGAGCUAAGUAGUUUGCUAGCGGCUAACUCAAGGAGGACCGAAACGACCCACACCCUACAGACAAGACAGGUCCCUUCUUCGACAUUAGGGACACCCCGGAGCUUACCCACAAAGCCAAAGGGUGAAAGAAAACGGGGAGCCAAAGAUAAAAAAGGACUAAAAUGUGUCAGACUACAUAAGAACAUCCAUGCUGCAAAUGGCUUUCUUUAAGAGGUGCAAAAUGGGAAAGGAGAUCUAUCUGCAGAGAAUUUGGAGGUGGGAGAGCAAGCUACACCCAGAUCCAGCCAAGUGCGGUUACACCUUGGUGACAUACUCGGGGCUUCUUUACGGAAUGAGUUGAUUUUAUCCCCAUAUUGACACAAAGACUGAAGACAAGGGUCUGAAGAGAUCCAGGGGUCUCUGUUCAGCUAUUGGACCUAUUUUAUUUGCAAAGACAAGGCUGGACGUCUUUUGUUUUGUGUUUUCUUUUUUUUAGUAGCUUUUUAAAAACUAAAUUCCAGCUGGACUUUUUUGAUGUUAAGCAGCUUCCCACAACUGGUUUAAAAGUACAUUUGUUUGUUUGGUUGUUUUCCCCUGCUGACUUAGUUUGAAAUGCUGGAACUGUCCCUCCUGCCGUCAUCCUCAGUUUCUUCCACCCACCCAGUGCCUAAAUAAGCCCUCUCGGGACUAUCACAGAAGUCAUCAGCAGCUGCUGCUCUCAAUCCUCUGCCUGUUCUACUCCAUGUGCUUCUGCUCUUGGCCUGCUGGCUAUCCACCCACUACCUCUUUAAUUUUCUGUGUUUUCUUUCUAUAUUCAUUUUCUUUGAGGGGGAUAAUCACAACUCGAGUAAUGUAAACACUGAGUUACAGUAGUGGAGAGAAACCUAGAUUGCUCCAGCAUUGAUUGUGUGCACAACUGUCUGUUCUUUUGUGUACAUGCACAGCAGUGUUACAAUUGCACUGGUGCCAAGGAGCAGUUAAAGCUUAGAUUUAUUUAUAUUGUUGUACCAAAUACAGUUUAAGCCAUACAAAAAUAUUUAUGAAAUUACCUACAUGUAUUUUUGUAUCACAUUGCUCUUGUAUGGUUUUGCUUUUGUAAGCUUCUAUUAAGAUUAUGCAUACAAAUUAAAUAUUUACGUGACAGCCGUGCACAUGCAAGUAGAGCUGUAUAUUGCUAUAUAAAAACACCCUCUGAUUUUUUGUGAUUAAAUUAUUGCUGGGAGAUAUUCAGAGUCUGCACACAGAAAAUCCCUCAUGUUUCCUUUCAGUUGCUGGUUUGCAUAGUGUUGUUUUUCUCGUCCGGUGUAUAGUCAUGGCCCCUCCUCCCAGAAAAACACUGUAUUCCCUGUGUUGACUGGUAAAGCGUCCCUUUACAGUAGGUAGACAGUAGAUAUCUACCUCUCUCUCUGUCUUCCUCUAUCUGUCUCUGAUGCCGGGCUUCAGUGGUGGGGGGGUUGGGGGGGGAGUAGGUGGCCCAGCCUCUGCUCCUCCCCGUCCAUUCCGACCCAGCCGAUAUGUUCCGGUGUCUGCAGCCACCACUUUCCUUGUUGGAUCCACAACCCUGUUCUUCUGCUUCACGUGCCCAUGGUUGUCAGAGUAUUUCUCCUCUGUCAUUCCCAUCUACAAUGCUGUGAUCUUCCUCUUCACCCUCGCCAACUUCUGCAUGGCCACUUUCAUGGACCCUGGAGUCUUCCCCAGAGCGGAGGAGGAUGAGGAUAAAGAGGAUGAUUUCCGAGCUCCACUCUAUAAGACAGUGGAGAUCAAAGGCAUCCAGGUGCGCAUGAAGUGGUGCUCAACCUGCCGCUUCUAUCGCCCGCCGCGCUGCUCACACUGCUCAGUCUGCGACAACUGUGUCGAGGAUUUUGACCACCAUUGUCCUUGGGUGAACAACUGUAUUGGCCGGAGGAAUUAUCGCUAUUUCUUCCUCUUCCUGUUAUCUCUCACCACCCACAUCAUAGAUGUAUUUGGCUUUGGUUUGGUUUAUGUCCUGCAUCACCGCCAGCAGCUUGACACGCCACAUGCUGCUGUAACUAUGGCUGUGAUGUGUGUGGCUGGUCUGUUUUUUGUCCCAGUGGCUGGCCUGACUGGGUUCCACAUAGUGCUGGUGGCCCGCGGUAGGACCACAAAUGAGCAGGUGACAGGGAAGUUUCGAGGAGGCGUUAACCCCUUCACCAACGGCUGCUUGAGGAAUAUUUCACAUGUGCUCUGCAGCUCCCAGGCGCCCAGAUACAUGGGCCGGUGGCGGAGUCAACAGGCAGUGGAAGUGCAGCCACCAUUUCUUAGACCGCCUCUCACUGAGGCCCAGUUAGAAGCCAAAAUCCUGGACAACGGCAUCCAGAAUGACCGACACAGCACCAGGUCCAAGAGCAGUCUAGAUCAGAUGGAGAGCCAGUCAGCUGAUGCAGAGCCUCCACCUCCUCCGAAGCCGGAGCUUCGUUACCCCGGCCUGCCUCGUGCUGACACAGAGGAGAGCAGCUUGUUGACUGAAGCUCCACCUACACCAUCGAUGUACAAGUACCGACCACCCUACAACAGCCCAGGAAGGAAUCACACGGCCCUCACACAUCCGAAUAAGAUGAUCCGUGGGGAGAGUCUUGACUCUCCAUCUCCCUCCAUCCUGCAGUCCAGUCGCCAGCCCAGCUACCGCUCGGAGCCGAGCAGCCUGGACGGGGCCACAGUGGUAGGGGGAGGUGUAGGGGUGCGCAGAGGGGGAGGGGAGAGGGGUGAGGGCCCCGGAGGCCCUGGCGGGACUGCUGGGGGGGUGUUAGGGGGCAUGUCAGGCUACUCGCUGACUGGGCGCUCCUACACCUCCUACCCAUCCUCUCUGGUUCUGUCCACUGGCGGCUCACGCUCCUCCAGCCUGCGCUCAGCACACACUGCACAUAACCCGCUGACUACGCUCCAAUCAGAGGGCACCACAGACACCAGCUACAAGAGCCUGGCCAAUCAAACACCUCGGAAUGGCAGCCUGUCCUACGACAGCCUGCUGACACCAUCUGAGAGCCCAGAGUUUGAGUCAGCCGCCCAUGAGCUGUCGCCGCAGAAGCCUCGUGCUCCGUUUCCCUCGGCGACUAUAACAGGCCAGCCUGAGGUGGUGUCUCCCAGUAGCCCGCUGCAGGGCUACACGUCGCCCUUCCUCUCAGCUCAGAUCGCCCAGCAGAGGGAGGGGCAGCUGCUCCAGGGCUCUGCCACUUUCUCCUCCCCCCAUAGGGCCUACCUGCGUGCUGUCAGCCCCCCUCCCUCCUCUGGGCCUCCUGAGACCCAGCACCUGCUUCAGCAUAACCAGGACUUCUCUUCUUCCCGAGCCCCUCGUAACCCUUCCUCCUCAUCCUCUUCCCCUGGGGCUCGCUCACUGGAGCCCCCUGUCUCCCCGCCACCUCGUGGCCUCUCCCUGGGCAAGUCUCUGUCUUACACCGGGGAGGCAGGGCCUCAGCACAAGCCUCGGCCUGCAGGAGGAGGCACUGUGCUGGGAGGGGGAGGAGUCGGAGGAGGGCAACAGGCUCCACAGUGAGUAGUGAUCCGCCACCAGAUCCGUCAGCCAGCUACUAUUCCUCCUCCUCCUCCUUUUUCUCCUCCUCUUCCUUCCUGGUUUGUGUCAGCCCUCCUCUUCUUACCAGAUCUGUAUCCACCUCUCGCCCAGUCUUGGCCAAUCACACCACAUCCAAACCAGGAGGAGGGGUGAAGAAGGUAACCGGCGUUGGAGGGACCACGUAUGAGAUAUCGGUUUGAGUGACAAACAUCCCACAUGGUCUUUUACAAAGAGGGGGGGAAAAGUCACCGGACAACUUCCACUUGUCUCUUACCAGAGCUGGAUAUUAUUCAUGACUUCAGGCUCCUAAAAAAAUGACUGUUUUCUGCUGCAAUGGACUAAUGGAGCAGGCCUGUCUGGUACUCACUUUGUUAUCUUUGUAACGCCACUGGCCAUUGUUCUCUGCCAGCCUUUCAGAUUUGAACAAAUGGUAACUGGGGACACUGGUUCAUUUUUUCACAGGAUCAAUCGUCUCCAUUUUUCCACUUUGUGAGCCAUAGACUGAUGUGACUAUCAUCACGGCUGGGUACAGAUACGUCUAUAGAACAUGCAUAGCUUUUCAAUGAUUUGCUGUUUUACUUUGGUACAUUAGCACACAGAGUAUUGACAGCAGUGUCCGACACUUAAGGAAAGGAUGGCCUUUAUCUGAUGGAUGUAAAAUUUCAAGAGGGAGGUUUUAGGACAGUUGACCAAUAGACACGUCUGAACGGACCACGCAGCUUGUUUAUUGAUAAGAAUAUUGGAGGGAAGGAUCCAACUUAUAAAGACAGUAUCAUUUUAGUUUUAUAAAUAUAUUUUUUUUAAAUAUUGUUUUAUAUAAUUGUAUAAAAUCUUACAGAUUAUUAUUGGGUCAAAUCGUCAGGUACUGAAGAUGACUAUUGAUGAGGGUGGCAGAUGUACUGUAUGUAAUUAUUCAUGAAAGCGAUUUUAAAUCAGUUGCCUGUUUAUCAUUGAUGGCUGCAUCAGCCAUUCACAAGUUCUUGCUGGAAUUUUCAUCAUCUAAAGAGAAUACUGAUCCUUCAGUGGACACCUGAAGUGGCAAAUGUUGGAGCUUAAUUUUUGAAAGCCACAAAGAAAUUUUGAUUCUCAUGAUUGCAGCACAAGCAUCUUUGUGGAAUGUACGCUUGUAAUGUUUGUGCUAGAGACAUUAUGCAAAAUCUGUUUGUAGCUUUAAAGUUCAUCGUACGUCUUUUGGUGUUUAUUUUGUUUCUCCUUUUCUGUAAUGUUUUGUCUUUCAGUCAACCACAAUGCUAGCAACGUUAUACCUUUAACAGAUGGCCAGCCAAAUAGGAGCAGCGAGGGAAGGGCUUAUUUAUUUCACCAGACAAAACAACGUUGUAGAUCUGGACAGUUUCAAACCAGUCUCAAUUCUUUUUUAUUUUUAAGACAGAAAAGAGUAAGUAGGAAUAUUUUUUACAAAAAAAUGUUUAUAAACAGAAAUUGUAAAUGCGAUAAGCCACUUAAUAGAAUAAGGAGGGACUGUUUUGAAAUUCAGAGACUGUGUAAUUUGUUUUUGCCUUGAGACCAUUCAUCGUAAAGCAAGCGUGUUUUUAUCUUUUUCUAUUGAUUUAGAUUUUAUACACUUUUCUGAAAAAAGUAAGGAAAGCAGAUGAGUUUUCUUUUUUUGAUUGACUUCCUAUUUUUUUUGUUAAAUUUCUGUAAAGGUACAGUUCAUGUUUUUUACCCACUGCCAUGUUUAGAAAGAAUGAAUUAGAGAAAGGGAGGUAUGUUUGUAAGCUUGUCUUUUUGGACUGGGCAUUGGAGUAAAGUUUUUUUUAUUAUUAUUUUACUUCUGUCAAAGCCCAUAGCAGUGUUUGAAGGAGAAUGUCGAAGGUGUCUGAAUGUGGCACAUCUUUUUUAGGGGGGGUGUACACGCUUGAAGCACACGAGUAUCAUCGGUUAACCCACACUGUGUUACGAGUUUUCAGCCCGACCAGGCUAUGUCUUUGGUGUGCAUGUGAUUUUUGUUCCUCGUGCUGAAUGCUUCACUGGCGUGCAUUCUUGUGAGAUUACUGUCAAACGCCCACCCGGUUCAGGUGUGGGUGGCAACAAGAAAAGAACCAUCAUUAUUGGCACAAGCAGCCGUCGUACAGAGUUUAAGAGAACCUGUGUUACUUUUCUUCCUGCUCUGGCCAACGAUGGUGGCUACAGAACAAUCUGAAACUAUGUGAGUAAAGCAAGUAUACUUCUUUGUGAGAUAAAAUAUUGCUAUUGUGGGCUGUGAUGAA